AGCGAAGUUAACACCAUGUAGGGGAGCAGGUGCCUUAAAGUCUGGCUUCGCCCCCAAAAGGGAAAUGCAAGACUGCAUACAGAUGGCACCACUGAGUUCUCUUUUGAGAUUCCUCUGGAAACCCUGACCAAAGGAGAAGAAAGAGAUAACCUACUAGAAGGUAAUGAAGGCUAAGCUGCUACUUCAUCUAACCAUCUGUCACCUGCGUUAGGACUGGAUAUAGGCCUUCUGGGACCUGGGCCACACAAGCCUCUGAGCACCAGCCCGACAGGAAUUAAGGCUCACACACCUCUCCUCUCCACCCUUCUGGAAGUUUUUGCAAAUAGGCAGCCUUCACCAGAGUGGAUUAAAACAGGAUUGUAACUCUUAUCGCCAGGCAAGGAAACAAAGUACCAACAAGGAACACGUGAAUUCUAUGACACUGCUGGCUUCCCAACUGCCUGGGGAGAUAAAGUCUACACACAAAUGGCUAAUAAUGCAUCAGUGCAUAAUGUGAUUCCAAUGUCUUCUACUCUACAAAGCUUCUACUGUUCCAGUACCAGUGACUAUCUACCAUCCAACAUCCCACCUGUGAAGAAGUAACCAGGCGUGAACUCUUGCAUAUUAACUUAUAAGAAUGUUCAGUAAUUGAUCCACAUGCCUAUGGCUUCAUUAUCUAUUCAUCUUAAGUCACCAAUUUUCAUCUGACUUCCAUAUACUGGACUUCAUGAC